rnacentral:rRNA from 1 species
UACGUAGGCAGCGAGCGUUUGUUCGGAGUUACUGGGCGUAAAGGGUGUGUAGGCGGUUGUUUAAGUUUGGUGUGAAAUCUCCCGGCUCAACCGGGGAGGGUGCGCCGAAUACUGAAUGACUUCGAGUACGGGAGAGGUGAGUGGAAUUCCUGGUGUAGCGGUGAAAUGCGUAGAUAUCAGGAGGAACACCGGUGGUGUAGACGGCUCACUGGACCUCUUCUGACGCUGAGGCACGAAAGCUAGGGUAGCGAACGGG